GAUGAAGAACGUAGCGAAAUGCGAUAAGUAAUGUGAAUUGCAGAAUUCAGUGAAUCAUCGAAUCUUUGAACGCACAUUGCGCCCGCCAGUAUUCUGGCGGGCAUGCCUGUUCGAGCGUCAUUUCAACCAUCAAGCCCCCGGCUUGUGUUGGGGACCUGCGCCUGCCGCAGGCCCUGAAAACCAGUGGCGGGCUCGCUGUCACACCGAGCGUAGUAGAUUUUCAUCUCGCUCAGGGCGUGCUGCGGGUUCCGGCCGUAAAAAGCCUUAUUUACCCAAGGUUGACCUCGGAUCAGGUAGGAAGACCCGCUGAACUUAAGCAUAUCAAUAAGCGGAGGA
rnacentral:misc_RNA from 1 species